rnacentral:tRNA from 1 species
GGUCCCAUCGUCUAGUGGCCUAGGACACCGCCCUCUCACGGCGAAAACAGGGGUUCGAGUCCCCUUGGGACUACCA